ensembl:lncRNA
GCCCGUCCAGCUCGAGGACGCAGUCUUCCUCCCAGGAGAAGCUUUGCCGGUGAGACCACUGCAGAUGGUUCCCUAUAAUGAAAUUGUAUGUUUAAUCAAUAUCAUGCAACCGUUUAUUUUAAGCUGUAGAAGCUGAAAUGUAAAAUCAAGGUAACGUUCUUCAAGGUCAACCACAGCUUUGAAGAAGGCCUUUGCACCCGAAGCAGCAGACCUGGACCGACGGGCAAACAAAGACGCUCCGAUGGCGAGGGACCACAGAUGGGACACGUGAGGGGAGUGACUUGUUUAGUUGACGCCCGUCCAGAUGUGAUGUGAGGAAACCAUCAGCCACCUUUGUGCCUUUGCACCGCUGCAAGAUUUGAACCAGCUUUGUUUACCACCGUGCAACAAAGUCAGUGGCAGGACACCUCGAAACCUUUUGCCAGAUGAGGUCAAACUACUCAUCUGUCCUCCGCUGCCAUGCGGCUGUGGAUUAUCUGAAAGCCGAGAGGAUGGGCCAGAAUCAGCCGAGGCUCGAAGCCGGGAGACUCGGAACCGCUGAACGUUGUUGUCAGUCAUUUUUCUCAACUGAAGUAUAUUCAGCCACUGCGGUUAUUAUUGUACGGUCGCUAGAAAGUGAAACUCCAUGGACAGUUCACAGAAAAAGUCAUAUUAAUAUUAAAAUGAAUUAAUUAAAUAUUAAACCAACUCUUGAAACAUUUCCACCACUGAG